rnacentral:rRNA from 2 species
CUANACNUGCAGUCGACGCGUUGGCCCAAUUGAUUGAUGGUGCUUGCACCUGAUUGAUUUUGGUCGCCAACGAGUGGCGGACGGGUGAGUAACACGUAGGUAACCUGCCCAGAAGCGGGGGACAACAUUUGGAAACAGAUGCUAAUACCGCAUAACAACGUUGUUCGCAUGAACAACGCUUAAAAGAUGGCUUCUCGCUAUCACUUCUGGAUGGACCUGCGGUGCAUUAGCUUGUUGGUGGGGUAAUGGCCUACCAAGGCGAUGAUGCAUAGCCGAGUUGAGAGACUGAUCGGCCACAAUGGGACUGAGACACGGCCCAUACUCCUACGGGAGGCAGCAGUAGGGAAUCUUCCACAAUGGGCGCAAGCCUGAUGGAGCAACACCGCGUGAGUGAAGAAGGGUUUCGGCUCGUAAAGCUCUGUUGUUAAAGAAGAACACGUAUGAGAGUAACUGUUCAUACGUUGACGGUAUUUAACCAGAAAGUCACGGCUAACUACGUGCCAGCAGCNGNCGGU